CAGUCAUCGUAACGAAACUGAAUGAAAUCAAAGACUUUUCAUUGAUAGGAAGAAGACGUCCUCUCGCCUCGCCUCAUGUGUAAUAGACAUCGUAACGCGAUGACUUUCUAUCCUCGAUUCUUACAAAAAUCGAAUUUCCUGAUCGCUUUUCAAUACUUCCGCAGUUUAUAAUUUGCCUUUGUUUUCAUUUUUGGUUGUACUUUUGAUUCGAAAUCGCUUCUUUUAUAGGAAAUGACAUAUCAACAGUGUCAACAGAUUCCAAUCCAACUGUAAAUGAAAGAGCAUGUCAUGCUGCUGAUUCUAGCUGCUAAUUAUGGUGAAUGAAUGUGGCCAAGACCUUUGUGUUGAAGGUCAAGAAAGAGCUAAGGGCUUGCAGUGGGAACAUAUCAAUGACAUCCAAGAGAAAGAAAUAUUCUCAGUAGCCAUAUUUCAUCAAGGUGACUGAGUUUAACAAGCAAGUCCAAGACAAGAUCAACAACCUUCGUGGGUCAAUGAAGGCCACUACUGAGCAGCUCAAUGAGACAGAUGGUGAAUAGGGGGUACCCAACAUGAUACACAAGUCAUGCAGCCUCAUCUCUCUCUGCAGGGCUUCAGGGUUGACACUACUGCACUGAGAUGCUGGACACUGGUCAAAUCUCAGAUAGACAGGUGAGAGUGGCUGUAUUCAAACAAGAUUCUGUUCCCUUUCAUAUAACACUUAUGAUCCAGGAAUGGCUAACCAAGAAGUUUCAAGAUCAUGUGACCCCCAAAACUAGUUAACUCCUAAUUUGACACCUCU